rnacentral:lncRNA from 1 species
AGGUUGAGUUCGGGUCGAGCUGUGCGCCUUUUUUCCUCUCGCUCUCUCGGUUAUCAUAACCUUGUAUUCCCUCUGGAAGGAAAUGGAAAUUCCUUUGGAUCAUCUUCUAGGUAAACAGUUUAAUUAGCUGCGUGAGGUGACAAACUUGCUCGGAUGAAGUCAUGGGAGCUGAACGAAUUGGCCUGAAUCCCAAGAGGGGAGUGUUCAGGGCGCGCGUGUCCCUCGGAGAGGCUGAGGUAACGCUGGCUCCUUCCCGGGAGUCCCUGAACGCCCGGCUUUGGAAUCUGCAGACAGCUCUUCUAGCAGGGCGUUGGCACCUACUGACUAACCGUGCAAUCACUCAGCAGCUGUGAUGGUUGGUGACAUGUCUUUCACAGCCCAAGAUAGCCUCCCUAGACUGAGCAAAAAAAAGAAAACAGAAAAAAACUGGAGCUAAAAGUUGAUCAGUGAGUGAUUCCUAGCAACCCAAAAUGUUGGUUUAUUUAUUUUACUUAUAAGUUUAGUUAACCAAUAAAAAUUAUUCUCUGUGUGAUGGAGAAGUUUUAAGGAGCA